rnacentral:rRNA from 1 species
AAGGAAUAUUGGUCAAUGGAGGCAACUCUGAACCAGCCAUGCCGCGUGCAGGAUGACGGCCCUAUGGGUUGUAAACUGCUUUUGUACCAGAGAAAACCUACUCACGUGUGAGUAGCUGAUAGUAUGGUAAGAAUAAGCAUCGGCUAACUUCGUGCCAGCAGCCGCGGUAAGACGAAGGAUGCAAGCGUUAUCCGGAUUCAUUGGGUUUAAAGGGUGCGUAGGCGGACUUGUAAGUCAGUGGUGAAAUCUCUUCGCUUAACGAAGAAACUGCCAUUGAUACUGCAGGUCUAGAGUAUAGAUGACGUUGGCGGAAUAUGACAUGUAGUGGUGAAAUACUUAGAUAUGUCAUAGAACACCGAUUGCGAAGGCAGCUAACGAAACUAUAACUGACGCUGAGGCACGAAAGUGCGGGGAUCAAAC